UCAGAGCUUGGGGCUGUUGCAACAGCUGUUUGUAAACACUGCAAAGCCAGUAUUAGGCUUCUUCUGGGGAAGAAGAAUAUUUUUUUGACUUGUAGCUUCCUGAACCAUCCUUAAAAAUGUUGCAAAUACACUGACACUCCUGCUGUUGAUCUAAAUAGCAACCAGUGUUGGCUUUCAGCUGGGCCAGUGGGCAGGCUCCAUCCUCGCGUCCUCCCGUGUCGGGUGACUCAUCAGCAAGUCUGAGAAUGUGCAGCAGGCUGCGGACCCUGGCAGGAAAGUACAGCAGACAGCAAGAGAGGCCUCUGGGAGCUGACGAGAAUUUGAUCAUGUUCGGCCUGGUGCUAAAAACAAAAUCGAAAAAAAAGAUUAUUGCUAAAAUUGGUGAGUUGGAUUCCAGUGGGAUAUGAUAGGUGGUGAAAGAUAAGCUCCCUCUGAUGCCCAGAAGUACAUUUGGAAAAGGAGUGGCAAAAUGAAUUUCUCCAGAUCCUUCCUCUUCAAUACAUUGUUAAAAGAUUGAAAGGCAAAACUCCUCAGGUUAAUGUCUUUCCAGAUUGGUGCCAUGCUCUGCCCUGCUUCAUAGGUCAACCCAAGAGGUGCUUUUUGGGCUGCACUUCACCUACUCACUCCUCUUCAUUGUUACAGUAAUAAAUUUUUCAGUAUCCUGCUGACUUAUUUGGGCAUAUCUGAGUUGGCCAGUCUAGCUUUCAGAGUUCAACAAGGAGUAUGGAAACACUCAGUGUUCCCUUCCAAUCUCAUGUUAUUACAUAUAACGUGAAUGUCAUGCCACUCGUCAAGCUACAGCAGCAUCUGUCUUGUGAUCCCUGUCAGACUCUGCAAGUCUAGACAUUUUGCCUCUGACAGAAAGUAAAGGUGGCUUAAAUGGGGCAAGGCCAGGGCAGGAGAGUAUGUGUGUUUACCUUGACCCCAAAGUACCUUUAAAAAUGCAUAAAUAAAUAGGAAAAGGUGCAGAAUCCAAUCAUGCGAUCUCAGUGGUGUAAGUUACACAUCAUGUAUCUGUCGGUCAGGAAACAGGUGUAUGUGGGUGUAAGUGCCAAAGCUGUUUGACUUGCAGCAAGUUGGCAUUUAGUGGGAGUGCAGUGUGAGUGUAACAUACACUCCCAGAUAUGGAAUAACAAGUGAGGGGGAUGUAGUGAAGCAACUAGAUCAUCAAAGAGUUAAGCAAAUUUGCAGUACCCACAGGAAAAAAAGAAAAAUUCAAGAUACUGCAUAUUUCACUGUUGAUUUUUUUUUUUUUUUCCAUUCAUGUCCACAGUGUCAAAUCUGCUGUUGAUUGUGCAGAGGGACUGCACAAGCUCCCUACUGUUAUUCUUAGUACCACUUCUGCCCCCCUUGAAUCGGCAUCUAGAACAGCUGCAAGAUAUUUUGCAACCAGACGCAGGUUUCCUCUUCCUGUUCUCUGAGCCAACCAGAUGCAAACUGGCCUCAAACCAGAAGCCAUGUAGCUACAGUUAGCAGGCACACAGCCCAAGCUAACAAGCCUUGCUGAGAAGGCAGGAUGUAUUUGCUCAGGCUCAGCACUGUGCUACUGCAGCUACACAGUCUCUGCUGAGCUCAGAGUACAGGCAAUGCCUGUUCCUGGCUACCAGGACCGCAGGCAAAAGCUACUGAUAUCACUAUGAGAAGUAGAAGAAAUGUCAGAAAGUUAUGGAUUUCACCUUUGGCUCUUAAAUAAACCAGAGGGCCCCUACAACAGUUUUUUGAGACACAUAUUUUAAUACAUGCAUACGUAUAUAUAUAUAUGUAUAUAUAUAUAUAUAUAUAUAUAUAUCUUGAAUAUAUAUAUGGGUCCUGGUGCAGGUUUCAGGAACUCCUAGCAGCAGGAGGCCAGUAGGCCAGUAAAAUAAUCUGGAAGUGGAUACAAUGGGUAAUCUUUUGUGCCUUCUGAAUCAUCUCAACAGCAUUUUGUAUAUUCUGUGUUCUGGCAUAAAUAAUCACCUGGACAGGAAAAGGAGCAAAAAAAAUCAACUUGAAAAAUGCUAUACUGCCUUGGUAGAAGAGAAGGGAAAUUGAGGGAGAUCUCCAAAGAUUUGAAAAUGCUUGUAAUAAGCACUUACAUUUUUUCAGUAAAUUUGCCCAUCAGUAGUCAAAGGUCUUAUUCACGUAUCACGUGUAUUUUCCCUGAUAAAAUUGCCUUUUCUUCUGGAAGAUGCAUCUCAUUUUAAAUUGCUGCCAACUCUAAUCAAAACCACCUACGCAACAAUACUGAGUUUUUUUUUCCCACCUCAGUCUCCUAAAAGAUUUUCUUUUAGGAUUGCACAAAAUUGCACAUAAGAAAUUCAAUACAUAGGGAUAAAAGAAUUUAAAUGAACAAGGCCCAGGUCCCAUGUAUGUGUAUUUCAGUGCUCCAGCACCAUUUCUGGCAGACACUUGAAGAUUUACCCAAUGAUUAAGGUGUUCCCCUGCUACACAUAGAUCUUUCACAGCGUUAGAAGCUUUCUUUCCUCUGAUUACACUGGGUUUUAAUUUAUUUUUCUGCGUGGAGUAAUUUUUC